UCGGGGCGGUCCGACCGGUCUGCCGAUGGGUACGCACUGGUCGGAGCGUCCUUCCUGCCGGAGACCGUGCCUACUCUUAACUGAGCGGGGGCGGGAGACGGCACUUUUACUUUGAAAAAAUCAGAGUGUUUCAAGCAGGCAGCUCGCUCUUGCAUGGAUUAGCAUGGGAUAAUGAAAUAGGACUUUGGUGCUAUUUUGUUGGUUUCGAACACCGAAGUAAUGAUGAGAAGGGACAGUCAGGGGCACUCGUAUUCCGCCGAGAGAGGUGAAAUUCUCAGACCAGCGGAAGACGAACCACUGCGAAAGCAUUUGCCAGGGAUGUUUUCACUGAUCAAGAACGAAAGUUAGGGGAUCGAAGACGAUCAGAUACCGUCGUAGUCUUAACCAUAAACCAUGCCGACUAGGGAUUGGAGGAUGUUCACUGAUUGACUCCUUCAGCACCUUACGGGAAACUAAAGUCUUUGGGUUCCGGGGGGAGUAUGGUCGCAAGGCUGAAACUUAAAGGAAUUGACGGAAGGGCACCACCAGGUGUGGAGCCUGCGGCUUAAUUUGACUCAACACGGGGAAACUUACCAGGUCCAGACAUUGUGAGGAUUGACAGAUUGAGAGCUCUUUCUUGAUUUAAUGGGUGGUGGUGCAUGGCCGUUCUUAGUUGGUGGAGUGAUUUGUCUGGUUAAUUCCGUUAACGAACGAGACCUUAGCCUGGCUAAUAGUGACGCGAACUCUUUGUUCGCGGGCCACUUCUUAAAGGGGACAACUUGUCUUCAACAAGUGGAAGUUUGAGGCAAUAA
rnacentral:rRNA from 1 species